AAUUCAAGUGGCCAGUGUAGACAGCUGGCAAGUUUGUAAACUUGCCGGUCUAGACACAGCCAAAGUGUAUCCCUGUUCACACCCCUAGUGGCAAAAAGGGGGCUAUAAAGCAGAUAGCGGGGGAGGGGAAGGAGGUUGCAGGGCUUCACCAGUUAGCUUUGCUCCCUACAAUUAAGAUUUAAGUGCCUUCCCAGCUUGCUAGGGUGACAGUGGCCAGCCUCAUGUGCCCGCCCUAAAAGCUUCUUACUCUCAGCAGACUGCAUCCUUGUGACCCAAGCAUCCAGUGUGGCCUGGGAUGGUUACUAGUCCUAAAUACUCCUUUAAAAAAAAAAAAAAAA